GACAUGUUCCACUAUCGACUUUGUGUUCAAACAACAGUAACUUUUUCCUGAACAAUAACUGAAUUGUAACACAUAGGCCCGGUUUCCAGUGGUGGAGGUAACGAAUUACAACUACUCACGUUACUGUAAUUGAGUAGUUUUUUCGGGUACUUGUACUUUUUUGAGUAUAUUUUUAAAGCUGUACUUUUACUUGUACUUAAGUACAAAUUAAGCAAAAUAAUCUACUUCAUUACUUUUAAAAUCAUAGCUCGUUACUGAGUACGCCCACAAUUUGAAUUGAUAUUCAGACCUUUCACGAAACUUCAGUAGCCAAUAAAGAUAUCCGAUCGUAAACGGACCAAUAAAAGCCCUGAUAUCUGAACCGGGUCCCGGGAAAAGCCGCCGCUGCAGCAGGUGAAGAUCUGAUCGGACAGUGAGGGAGCACAGCGUGAUUUAUGGACUCAAAGUUUGGAGAAACAAACUACAUGUAUCUACCGUAUAUACACCGAUACACAUCCUCUCAGACAGCGAGUUUGACAGCAUCAGCCUCCUGUCAGUUACAGAGUCUGAAUAUCCGCGCGGGAUUGCAGCUUUUUGAACAGGGCAGAUCAAGCAUCUUCUGCUGCGGCCUGAUGAUCGGAGGCUCAUCCUCGAAAGAGUGGAGGACUGAUCAGGCUGUGAAUAGGGAGCACUGCGGCCCCGACUUGCUUUAUCCUUUGCUUUGGAUGGAGGAGUGGAGAUUGGAGAUCGAAAGUGCUUGGCGCAGACCUGAUACAGUCCAUUUUUCCGCUGCUGGGGCGGAAGAGAGGGCUGAGGCAUAGGAUGACGCUGGAGACGGUUGCUGACGCCUAGCAGGCGAAGGUGAACCCUGACGACUGAAGAUAUGAGCGGUGGCGGUGGCGGUGCGGGAAGGCCGGCGGCCCCGCAGUGCAGCCGUGGACUUGGUUAGGGUGUCCUGCGGAGCGCUGGUGUGCUGAACGCCGGUUGGAGACGCAGGCGGAGCUGCGUUGUCGAAGGUGUUAUCCUCGGGGAAGAGUUGGAUCUCUGACAUGGAUGCGGCGAUUGGAUGAACCAAUGCUGAAAGUCGAGAUAAUGGAGAUUCACAUAAAUCCUGACCUGGACACAUGGGGCAGCAGCUGCCCUCCACGGUGACCGGCUGAUGGCAGGGUAAGACAGGACAGCUGACAGUCGAGCAG